rnacentral:rRNA from 1 species
UACGAAGGGGGCUAGCGUUAAUCGGAAUUACUGGGCGUAAAGCGUGCGUAGACGGCUAUCUAAGUCGGGUGUGAAAGCCCCGGGCUCAACCUGGGAAUUGCAUUCGAGACUGAAUAGCUAGGGUACGGUAGAGGGAAGCGGAAUUUCCGGUGUAGCGAUGAAAUGCGUAGAUAUCGGAAGGAACAUCAGUGGCGAAAGCGGCUUCCUGGACCAGUACCGACGUUCAGGCACGAAAGCGUGGGGAGCAAACAGG